UCCCUCUCAGAGUCGCAUCUCAAGAGUUCCCAGCACUCUAUCAGUCUCGGCUACCGGAUGGAGAGUCAAGCAGAGGCAUACCCAUUCCAUUCCUAGCUUGGGCAGUGGCUAGCGAGUGGAAGGCAAUCUGCCUCAAGU